ensembl:lncRNA novel transcript
CUUGUGAUUGAAAACACAAAGCUUAGAAAGGUGCAUUCUCUUGCUUCUCUGCCUGCCCGGAUAUCAAUGAACAUCAGCUAAAGGUGGCUGAAGAACCAAUUUCAUGCAUCUACUGUACGAGGAAAUGAACUGAGCCAAGGGCAAAAAUAAAAUUAUACAAAUGUUAUUAUAGACUAGCCUGCUUCUGUCCUAGUUUAAUUCAAAUUUUAGUGCUGCAGGCUUUGCUUCUGGCAGUAGCCUUCCUGAAUAAAUCAACAUUUGCUUACAUCUAAAUUAUUAGGGAAGCAUGUGACUUUGUUUAUUGUAUAAAUUAUACGCAAGGUUAAAGCAUUAACUGUUGAACUGGCUUUGUUCAGUCACCUCCCCAACUCUCCCCCAAAUCAUCUCUCCCCUAAAUAGGAAAUUAAAAUCUGAAACUACUAAUUGCUUUUAGACAAACCAAAUAACAAAGCUGCAUUAUGAACCUGAGGUUACAGAUGGAGAGCACUGUUAAAGGUGUGGCAGGAGACAGUCUUGGUGUUGAGGAAAAAGAAAGGCACUCUGGCCCAAGAAAUUGUUCACCUGAGCUCUGAUGGGGUGUCUGCACAAAGGAAAAUGGUGAUCUGGUAAAUAAUCGGUUAAGUUGAUUAAGGCAGCCAACCAAAUGGGAUAAUUUAAUACAAAACUAAAGAAAGCCUUUUGGCUAGGAUUUCAGUAAGCAAGGAAUUUCAAAUUAUAUUGCAAUGUUGGACCCAAACAUUUUUAUUGCCAUUAUCUGCUAGAAAGUUAGACAUAGGCUGGAAAACACACUUAGGAACAAUGAUUUGUUUUUUGUUUGUUUGUUUGUUUGUUUGUAUUGUUUUUCUCUCUGCACAUCACUGUGAAAUGACUCCUGAAAGACCAUCCAUACUUAUUUAGAAAAUAAGCCUGGGCUUUGAUAACUAGACAAUUUGACUUUCUAAGUGUUUAGACAAGCCAGGUAUCAGGUGUGUCCUGCUAUGAGAACAUCCAAUUUAAAUAAACAUCAAGGGUUCAGAGUAGACAAAUCAGAAGGUAAUUGUUUACUUUACAAAAGGUUCUUUUUAUAAGAUCAUCCGCAAUACGCUUGUUUUUGUUGACCUUUCCCACAGUAUAAUUUGCAAAAUUAUAAUUAAAUUCAAUCUUUUCCAAAAAUAUAUGUUUUUCUUUUUCUUUCUCAAGACUUUUUGUAGAAACUCUGCAGGUCAGAAGAUUUUUGUAUGGAAUGAUCUUCUCCAAUCAAUUAUUUGAAUCUAAGAGGAAGAGAAGAUCAUCAGUGGCAAAUGGCAGUCACAGGAAAGCAACACCCACAGCCGGUUUCACACGUGUGGAGAGCACCCUGAGCCUCCUCCUCCUGGUUUCCCGUGCUCUGCAAGUUCAGAGAAACUUCUCUCACAACCAACUAUAGAAACAAUCUUGGAACGUACAGUCUUAGAAAUGGCUUUUUAAUUGCAGCAUAUCAGAGUGAAAAAGGACCCAGAGAUGUUGGAAUCAGACAAUCCUGGUUUCAAAUCGGUUUCAUUGUUCAUCCUCAUGUGAUGUUUGGCAAGAAAUAAAACAUUUCUGCGU